AACGAACGCUGGCGGCAUGCCUAACACAUGCAAGUCGAACGAGACCUUCGGGUCUAGUGGCGCACGGGUGCGUAACGCGUGGGAACCUGCCCUUAGGUUCGGAGUAACUCCCUGAAAGGGGUGCUAAUACCGGAUAAUGUCUUCGGACCAAAGAUUUAUCGCUUUUGGAUGGGCCCGCGUUGGAUUAGCUAGUUGGUAGGGUAAAAGCCUACCAAGGCGACGAUCCAUAGCUGGUCUGAGAGGAUGAUCAGCCACACUGGGACUGAGACACGGCCCAGACUCCUACGGGAAGCAGCAGUGGGGAAUAUUGGACAAUGGGCGAAAGCCUGAUCCAGCAAUGCCGCGUGAGUGAUGAAGGCCUUAGGGUUGUAAAGCUCUUUUACCCGGGAUGAUAAUGACAGUACCGGGAGAAUAAGCGCCGGCUAACUCCGUG
rnacentral:rRNA from 1 species